GAAUAGGCAUUGCAACGUUGUUAGUUUGUUAACGUUGACUGGAAUGUUUAUUUCAAAUUUAGCAGGACAGUUUAACGGAGAUUGCAGAUCUUGUGAAUGAAUGGAAUAGACAUAGAAUCCGUAUAAAUGCUGAGAGUAGAGGUUAUGGAGGGCGACCUGUCACACUUUACAACCUACCUGAAUUGUACGGAACACUCGACUUCAAGUACCUUGUUGAAACGGAAAAACUGGACAUAUGCCUUGAAAUGAGCAGCUCUGUCGAUACACUGCCGUGUGACAAGGAUGUGUACGAGCUGGCAACAAUGUACACGAAGGAAUAUAAUCUGUCAAGUCCUGCCGAUGCUUACGAGUCUGCCAGUCUGUUUUGUGUGUUAAGUACUAUGAUCAAAGCCGACUUUUGAUUGAUUACCCAGUGACACCAUGUUCACCUCGUAUGACUCUAUCCCUUGAAGCUGAACUUGACAUUGAAUCUUUACAUGAUUUUUGUUAAAUUAUGAGAAAUGUUCAAAUAAUAAUUAUUUGCCAGCACGAGUAUACAUAAUUUGACCUUUGUGACAUUGACCUUAAAACUUUUCCUACAUAUUUUCACCAGAAAAUAUCUUGACCUGGACGCUUGGACAUUAAAACUUGCUUACGUGUUACGUGUUUCUGAGAAACAUUGCCGCAGUAAGAGUAUGACUUUUGACCUUAAAACAUUACUUCAUAAUCUCCCAACAAGAUGUUUACCAGUGAUGGAAGAGAUUCAUCAGUUGACAUUUAUGUCCUUGAAACCUGGUCACGUAUUUCUUAGUCCGUUCUAAAAAACUUUGUUUUAUAAUGUCAUAAAAAUGUUAAACAGAAAAGCGAUAAAGAAUUUACCUUUG